rnacentral:rRNA from 1 species
GACAGAGGGGGCAAGCGUUGCUCGGAAUUACUGGGCGUAAAGGGCGCGUAGGCGGGAUGGCAAGUCGGUCGUGAAAUCCCUCGGCUCAACCGAGGAACGUCGAUCGAUACUGCUGUUCUUGAGGAUUGCAGAGGAGACUGGAAUUCCCGGUGUAGCGGUGAAAUGGUGUAGAGAGUCGGGAGGAAGGCCGGUGGCGAAGGCGGCAUCCUGGACCGGUAUUGACGGCUGAGGCGGCGAAAGCCAGGGGAGCAAACGGG